UACGUAGGGCGCAAGCGUUGUCCGGAAUUAUUGGGCGUAAAGAGCUCGUAGGCGGCUUGUCACGUCGAUUGUGAAAGCCCGAGGCUUAACCUCGGGUCUGCAGUCGAUACGGGCUAGCUAGAGUGUGGUAGGGGAGAUCGGAAUUCCUGGUGUAGCGGUGAAAUGCGCAGAUAUCAGGAGGAACACCGGUGGCGAAGGCGGCAUCCUGGACCGAUACUGACGCUGAGGAGCGAAAGCGUGGGGAGCGAACAGG
rnacentral:rRNA from 1 species